rnacentral:tRNA from 1 species
UAGAUUGAAGCCAGUUGUAUAUGGUAUUUAGCUGUUAACUAAAAGUUCAUGGGGGCGGAUCCCAUCAAUCUAG